GCAAGCAUUUUUCUUGUAUAAAUUUUGUUUCGACAGAGAGAAUCUGAAUAUGAAAAUGGUCUUCAAAGAGACCCCACAGGGCUGAGAAAGAAAACAAAGAAACAAACAGACCCUCCUGCUAUGACUGUAGAUUCCUGGUCUCUUCCAAUCAUGUAAAUUUGGAAGCUCACCCAUGUUAGUAUGCUUACACAUUCUAAGACGAGAAAGAAAGAUACAAUUUUUCUGCUUAACACCAUUUCGCAUGGAACAUAAAAAUGAGUAAAGGGUAUAAAUAAAGGCAGGGGAGGCCAGAGGUUUAGAGAGAGAGAGAGAGGACUAAACUUUGCUAAUGGUCAAGUACGAGGGCAAGUGGUGGCGUAGGAUUCCCCGUAAAUCCUGGGUCAUGAUUUUUUUUCCUGCAAUAUCAUCAGGGGGACAAUUGUGAUAAAUCAUGAAGCUUUCAAUACUUUGAAAGCUAUUCUGAGGAUAUAGGAGAAUCAUGUCCUACACUGGAUUUUAUUGCUUUGCUUCCUCUUGAGCUAUGCCUACACAAGCAUUACGUGAGUUAUUUUAGUGCUCUGCAUUAUGUUUAAGGAAGCUAUUUUAUGGUUCUCCCAUUAAUUUUGGUUAUUUGUUUGUUUUGAUUCUUUCUUACAGAACUAGACCAGAAUUCUUGGUUCAGUUCUCCACCUUAACGACAGAAAAAAGGAUGGAUCAAAUUCUAUUGAGUCUGACUCAUAGUGAUAAUUUAUCAAAGAAUGACUCUGGUUAUCAAAUGAUUGAACAACCGGGAUCCAUUUACUUACGCUACUUAGUUGACUGCUAACUGACACUGCAAAAUUAUGUAAAGCUGCACUUGGCAAUUGUUUUGAAAUCGAAGAGUGGGGUCCCAUUGAAUUCUGCAUCAUGGCUAUACUUUGAAGUCAAAGGAAACCUCCUUAUGCAUACCAUUCUCAAUACAUGGCACACCUUCUUUCUCAUGGACAGCUUGAUGGGAGUUGUUAGCCAUUGAUCAAGCAUCACCACUUGCAUUGAUACGUACGCAGCCAACCAUUUAGAAGCUUUUUGAAGUUUUAUAGGUACCAAUCAAGGAAAGUGAACAUAUAGAACUAGCAAAGCAUUAUGAACUCUUUCUUGACAGCAGAAGUUGCCACAAUGAUAAGUACUUUCAGUUUGUGUUAGAGAGAAUCCCAACUGCAUUUUACUACUGGACUCCAGUAGUUUUGUAUUAGAAGUGGGGUUUCCAGUAUUAAAAAUCUGUGGAUAUGGUGUAUGUUCAAGAAAUGCGAGAUAAUAUUCAUUUAAGUGGGGGGGGGGGUCUUGUUUAUCCAUGCAGGGCUGCAAUUUUGUGAACAAAAAUUGCAUAUCUUAAACUGCAAUUUACAUUUUAUGGUAAUAAAUCGCAAUUAAUUAAGCUGCUUUUAUUGUCA